CGGGAAUUUUGGGCAAUGGGCGAAAGCCUGACCCAGCAACGCCGCGUGAGGGAUGAAGUAUUUCGGUAUGUAAACCUCGAAAGAAUGGGAAGAAUAAAUGACGGUACCAUUUAUAAGCUCCGGCUAACUACGUGCCAGCAGCCGCGGUAAUACGUAGGGAGCAAGCGUUGUUCGGAUUUACUGGGCGUAAAGGGCGCGUAGGCGGCGCGGUAAGUCACUUGUGAAAUCUCUGAGCUUAACUCAGAACGGCCAAGUGAUACUGCUGUGCUAGAGUGCGGAAGAGGCAACCGGAAUUCUUGGUGUAGCGGUGAAAUGCGUAGAUAUCAAGAGGAACACCUGAGGCGAAGGCGGGUUGCUGGGCCGACACUGACGCUGAUGCGCGAAAGCCAGGG
rnacentral:rRNA from 1 species